CAAAUAAAGAGAAAAAAAGUACGAACUCCAUCCCGCCAAUCCAAGCACAUACUUAACUCUUCUUUUUCUUUCUCCUAAUUGUAACAUCACCCAACUUCUACCCAUUUCAGCACUAAAUAAUAAGUGGGGUUUAAAAAAAAAAGGCAGUACACUAAAAAAUUUACAACUCACAAAUAAAAACUCACCAAUUAACUUUCCCAUUUCCCUCUUCAGUGCACCAUAGCCGACACAAACUCACCCAUUCAUUUUAUCAGUCAUUCACUAUCUCUCUCUAAACACAUUAUAUUAUCUUCUGUCUCUCUCUCUCACACAUGGUUGAGGGCCACUCUCUACUCUUACAUGGUCGGUGGCUAGUGUAGCAGCUCUUCGACAGCUGGUGCGAAGUGCGAUGAGUGCGGCGUGCAGCGGGCGGCUGGGCUAAGACAGUGCAAUAGCUUUUCGUUCAGUAACCUCUCUCUCUCUCUCUAUUUUUCUCUCUCUCCCGCUCUCUCUCUCUCGUGGGUGAUGGUGCCAUGGGUUGGGGUAAGCUUUUGGGUAUGUAAUUUUGUUUUAAUUAUUAUUGUAAACCUAUAUCUAUGUUUUUCUAUUGUAAAUUUACUAGCCCUAGUUUAGUUGGUAAGAUGUUUUUCAUUUAAGAAAAUGUAAUAUAAUAAAAUAGAAAGGGAAAGAAUUUUUGAAAACUUGUUAUGGGUUUGAUUUCUUUAAUAUCAGCCCUUGAGUUGCAUAUAUGAUUUGCUAUGCCUGGAUCACAUAACCUUAAGCCGAGGCUUAGACACAUGAAGGUAUGUAGUUUGGCAUCUCUCACCAUACUCUUUGGCUCGAGAAAUGUUAUUUUCCUCUUGAUUAUUUACUCAAUUUAUAUUGAAGUUGUUGACCUUCUUGUCAUUUGAUGGAUACAUGGCAUGCGUAGUUAUGGUUCUACUGCUGGAGAAUACAUUGUGGUGUUUGUCGUCGUGGUGGCCAUAGGGUUAUUGAUUUCUUUGUGUGUAUUCACUUUGCAUUUUGUUUUAUAAGAUGCAAAAUUAUUUAGUUUGUGCAAAUAUAUUUUAUGGAUUGGGGUCUUUGAUGCGCAUUGUUUGCUUUGUUUUGUUACAAUUUUACAUAUUUCAUUACUAGGCACCAAUAUUUAUAUUUAAUUCUUUACUGUUUUUAUUCUUUCCUCAUAAUAGUUGUUUCAUAAGGUGUUUAUAUAUUUAUGGGCACUUGUAUAAUCUUCUAAGUGUUUUGACACAGAGCAUUCAAUUAAAAAAUUGGGUCUUGAACAAUAAGUCAAUUAGCUGCUUAUGUGCUCAUCAAAUAUUAUGGAUAGUCAUGCUUCUCUAUUGGUAUAUAUGUAUGUAACUAAAUAUAUGCUAUGUAUUGUCUUUCUAGUCUCAUAUGUUCUUAAGGUAUGGUUUUGAGUUUUAUAAUCGCUUAUUAGCAUGAAAUAGGAAAACAUAGGCGUUAUACUUUUAUAUAUAUAUAUUUGAUUACUAAAAAAUGAUUAUUUUUUAGUAUUUUCGUUAAGUUAUCCAAUAUGCACAAGAGAGUAGUAGUCCUGCAGUUAGAAUUAGAUAAACGAAUCAUAAGAUGAGAUUAACAAAAUAUGAAUAAGUGGUCUUAAUUUAUAAGGACUGGCUAUGUGGCAUUUAUCGUGGUCUUUCUCCAACUAUUCUUGCAUUACUUCCUAAUUGGGUUGUGAGUCUUGUUGCUUGACUUCUUAAUUCUUUAGGAGGCCUUGAAUUUUGCUUAAAUCUGAAUUUGUGUUUGUUUCUUUUUAAUGAGCACUUGUUUGUUUCUUCGAAGAAAAUUGCUCUGUUUUCAUCUCAGGUAUGCUCAAAUGCAGAUGCUCAAAUGGUGGCCACCUCAUAUAUGUACCAUCAUGGCCAUGAGGACAAAUAAACACAAAUGUGAACAGGUGUGUAUGUGCGGAGACGGACUUCAAAGAAGGGGAUCUUAUAUUUUAGUGGCUAAAUUGAAUUUAAAAUUGGAAGGAAACUUUGUUUGCAAUAGCUUACAAGAGGAAUGUUCUCACUCUUGUUUUAAUACUAUGCAAAUGUUAGAGAAGUUUGAAUAUCUUAAAUAUUUAUCCAUAGUGAAGUAGAUUCUUAGAUUGUUAUUGUGUGCUGCGGUGAUAACCAAAGGUUGAGAACUUGUGUCUUAGUGAAAAAGGAUAUGAGAAAUUUAUGUGCUGCGGCGAGAUAAAGAAGAAAACUUGUGUGCUCUUUGUAUUGAUAUUUGGAAAUGGUUCAUUGCUAGUAUAGGCAAAUGAUUCUUAAUAAAUAUAUAUCAUGUCAUCUUUCCUUGUCUUUGUCCCCAUAAUUAUGAACUUAAAAAAGGUAUAAAACACAAAAAGGAAAAAAAACUAGUAUAUAUAUUUUUAUAUAUAUAUAUAUAUAUAAUCACAGGUUUCUUGAGCUAAUAUAUGGCGUUUCAUAUUAAUAAUAAUACAAAUUAAUACAUAUAUGGGGUUUCUAGGUUGUAUUUCAACCAAAACCAAUAAUGUAAAUAUAUAAAUUUUAAUAUCAAUAAAUUUAUUCAUGCCCAUAUACUUUUCCUAUUACUCAAUUGAUUUGUGUUAUUAUGUUGUAAAAUAUACAUCUCUAUAUUUUAUAUGCUGGUUUUUUUUUUUUUUAGCAUUGAAAUAUUUAUAUAAGAUAAUUGAAUACCAGUAUUAAUUGAUUAAUUGUCAGAGAUGUAGUUGUCAAGCACUACAAAGUGAACCAAACUUUAAAGUCUUCAUGAACCAGCAUAAUAUAUAUGUUGUAAAACCAAACUUUUAUGUUAUGUGUAUGUAUAUGAUUAUUUUCUUUAAUUGACCAAACAUAUAUAUGUUAAAAGCACACUCGCGGUUUAUACAAGUUUUUGAGUCAUUUACGAUUUUUAAUUUUGAUAUAUAUAUAUAUAUAUAUAUAGAAUGAAUUUUACUUUUACUUUGAUAAAAGGUGUAUAUAUUCAGUCUGAGAAUGAUUUGAUUGUGUGAUUAUGUAGAGAAUGAGCAGGGAAGGAAAGGUAUAUAUAUUCAGUCUGGAGCUUCAGGUUACAUAGCUUCAUGGUUAGUGAAGCUCUUAUUACAACGUGGUUACCCUUUGAAAGCAUCUCUUCGUGACCUAAGUUAGUUCCUAUUAUUAUCUUUGGCUUUUAAACUCAUUUUAUAUUCUAUCUUCGUAAAUCUACACAAACAUGUAGUUUCAAUUUUUUGGUUUUUCAACUUUACAUUCGUAAAUUUCAUUUUGCAUGCAAUAUGUACAAUUUGUAACUCCUUAUACAUGCAGAUGUUUCAAAGAAAACACAACACUUAUAAUUCUAGAAUUAUAAGUGCUUUAUACAAGUCUUGGAACUUGUAUUAGUCAGUUAUCUGAUUAGAUGUUGGUGAGAGUCUUGGAGGCUGAAUAAAGUUUUGUUUAUUUUUUAUCUAGGCUGUUUGGGCUAUUCUUUUUUUACAAUUGGUCUAUUUGAUAGUUGUUUGCCUUUUGAAUUUGUUAUGCUAUUUCAAGGAAUCUUUAUUACUUUCACUUUUGACAUUUUACUUUGGUUUUCUUGUUUGAGGAUGUUAUUUUGAACUCUUCCAAUUUUAAUCAGAUUUGGUCUCCAUUCUUCUGGGGUCUUUUCUCUCUAGUCUUUCUUUUAUUCUUUGAUCAAUAACUGUAAUUCACAGAUUUUCCCCCUUUCUAAUUUAAUUUAGAAAACUCGCGCCUAUACAAGCUCAUGUAUUCUCUUACCUAUUCUCUCUUGGAAAGCUCAAUACGCAUAAUGUUUGUCGAAGAAAGUCCUUUUUCUUUUUGGUGUGUGUUUUACCUUUUAACUUUAUUAAAGUUAUAUUUAAUUACAUAUAUAUUUGACAUCUAAACUUAGUGUUUAGUGUAUAUGUGAGUAAACUUAUUUAUUUACACUACAAUGAAACUCUACUUAUAAUUUUUCAUGUUUGGUAUAUUAUUAUGUGAUUUUUCAUGUUUCAGUGAUGAUUUUAGAAAGAAAUUCAUGGCAGACAAUUUUUACUGUGGAAAGCCUAUUGGGGACGAUAAAGAGUACAAGGACAAGAAGAAGAAAAAUAUGUUAUUUGAUAAUGCAUUUAGAGUUUUAUUUUAUUUGUAAUUUUUAUUAGAGUAAAUGAUUCUUUUUUAAGUGGUUAAUUAUUUACUUUGUAAAUCUAGUUAUAUGUUUUUUAAGGUUAAGAUGAUUAGGUUUAUAGACAAGGCUAUACGAUUUUUGAGUCAAGUAGUAGUGUUAUAUUUGUUCCAAAAUUUGUUUUAUUAGAUUUGUAAAUAUUUUAUAUAAGUUUUGUUAUUUUAAUCUAUAA